CAGUAGCCGCGGGAAUACGGAGGGUGCAAGCGUUAAUCGGAAUUACUGGGCGUAAAGCGCACGCAGGCGGUCUGUCAAGUCAGAUGUGAAAUCCCAGGGCUUAACCUGGGAACUGCAUUUGAAACUGGCAGGCUAGAGUCUUGUAGAGGGGGGUAGAAUUCCAGGUGUAGCGGUGAAAUGCGUAGAGAUCUGGAGGAAUACCGGUGGCGAAGGCGGCCCCCUGGACAAAGACUGACGCUCAGGUGCGAAAGCGUGGGGAGCAAACAGGAUUAGAUACCCCUGUAGUCCCUGUCUCUUAUAC
rnacentral:rRNA from 1 species